rnacentral:sRNA from 1 species
CCUGAAAGGUGACAAUAAUAGUCACUGUCCAGGAAU